rnacentral:rRNA from 1 species
UACGGGGGGGGCAAGCGUUGUUCGGAAUUACUGGGCGUAAAGGGCUUGUAGGUGGCCAACUAAGUCAGACGUGAACUCCCUCGGCUUAACCGGGGAACUGCAUCUGAUACUGGAUGGCUUGAGUUCGGGAGAGGGAUGCGGAAUUCCAGGUGUAGCGGUGAAAUGCGUAGAUAUCUGGAGGAACACCCGUGGCGAAGGCGGCCCACUGGGCCGGUACUGACGCUGAGGCACGAAGGCGUGGGGAGCGAACGGG